AAAUGCGAGUUGCGCCCAGAUUUAGAGAAAAAAAACAUAGGAGGUUGGAACGGUUGAUGAACCUAUUCAGUGAAUAGGUUGACGAAAUGAUAAGUCAAAAAUAGCUCAAGUCUUUAUAAACUAAAAGUGUAAAACAAUAUUAUUAAUUUUAUAUAAUUUUUUAGUUUU